rnacentral:tRNA from 1 species
GCCCUGGUGGCAUAGUGGUUAAGUGCUAUGGCUGCUAACCAAGAGGCUGGUGGUUCAAAUCCACCAGGCA